rnacentral:rRNA from 1 species
GGGGAAUAUUGCACAAUGGGGGAAACCCUGAUGCAGCGACGCCGCGUGAGUGAAGAAGUAUUUCGGUAUGUAAAGCUCUAUCAGCAGGGAAGAAAAGAUGACGGUACCUGACUAAGAAGACCCGGCUAACUACGUGCCAGCAGCCGCGGUAAUACGUAGGGGGCAAGCGUUAUCCGGAUUUACUGGGUGUAAAGGGAGCGUAGACGGAAUUGCAAGUCUGAUGUGAAAAUCCGGGGCUCAACCCCGGAACUGCAUUGGAAACUGUAUUUCUAGAGUGUCGGAGAGGCAAGUGGAAUUCCUGGUGUAGCGGUGAAAUGCGUAGAUAUCAGGAGGAACACCAGUGGCGAAGGCGGCUUGCUGGACGAUGACUGACGUUGAGGCUCGAAAGCGUGGGGAGCAAACAGG